AUUACAUACUUGUAUGUAGGGAUGUGCAUGGGGAAAACUUUCAGUUCGGUUCGGCAUUCCGAAAUUUGGGACUUCGGCAAUUAAGAACUUCGCCACUUUGGUUUGGUUCGGCACUUCGACACUUCAGAACUUCGGUACUUCAACACUUCGUCAACUUCGGAACUUCGGCAUUUUGGAAUUUCGGAACUUCAGCAUUUUGGAAUUUCGGGACUUCGGCACUUGGACACUUAGG